GCGCGUUUAGCUCAGCGGGAGAGCGCUUCCCUGACACGGAAGAGGUCACUGGUUCAAUCCCAGUAUCGCGCACC
rnacentral:tRNA from 1 species